GACAGAGGUGGCAAGCGUUGUUCGGAUUCAUUGGGUGUAAAGGGUUCGUAGGUGGUCUAGCAAGUCUGAUGUGAAAUCCCAUGGCUCAACCGUGGAACUGCAUUGGAAACUGUUGGACUUGAGUACCGCAGAGGUGAAGGGAAUUCCCGGUGUAAGGGUGAAAUCUGUAGAUAUCGGGAGGAACACCAGUGGCGAAGGCGCUUCACUGGGCGGUUGCUGACACUGAGGAACGAAAGCAAGGGGAGCAAACAGGG
rnacentral:rRNA from 1 species